AGGGGCGUAGCUCAGUUGGUAGAGCAGCGGUCUCCAAAACCGCAGGUCGCGCGUUCGAAUCGUGCCGCCCCUG
rnacentral:tRNA from 1 species